CCUACGGGGGGCAGCAGUGGGGGAUAUUGCACAAUGGGGGAAACCCUGAUGCAGCGACGCCGCGUGUGGGAAGACGGUCCUCUGGAUUGUAAACCUCUUUUGUCGGGGAGCAAAAGACGCCACGCGUGGCGUUCCGAGAGUACCCGAAGAAAAAGCAUCGGCUAACUCCGUGCCAGCAGCCGCGGUAAUACGGAGGAUGCGAGCGUUAUCCGGAUUUAUUGGGUUUAAAGGGUGCGCAGGCGGAAGAUCAAGUCAGCGGUAAAAUUGAGAGGCUCAACCUCUUCGAGCCGUUGAAACUGGUUUUCUUGAGUGAGUGAGAAGUAUGCGGAAUGCGUGGUGUAGCGGUGAAAUGCAUAGAUAUCGCGCAGAACUCCGAUUGCGAAGGCAGCGUACCGGCGCCAGACUGACGCUGAGGCACGAAAGCGUGGGGAUCGAACAGGAUUAGAUACCCGGGUAGUC
rnacentral:rRNA from 1 species